rnacentral:rRNA from 1 species
UUACCAUGCAGUCGAACGAUGACGGAGAGCUUGCUCUUCUGAUUAGUGGCGAACGGGUGAGUAACACGUGAGCAAUCUGCCCUUGACUCUGGGAUAAGCGUUGGAAACGACGUCUAAUACCGGAUACGACCCUUGGAGGCAUCUCUGGGGGUGGAAAGAAUUUUGGUCAGGGAUGAGCUCGCGGCCUAUCAGCUAGUUGGUGAGGUAAUGGCUCACCAAGGCGACGACGGGUAGCCGGCCUGAGAGGGUGACCGGCCACACUGGGACUGAGACACGGCCCAGACUCCUACGGGAGGCAGCAGUGGGGAAUAUUGCACAAUGGGCGAAAGCCUGAUGCAGCAACGCCGCGUGAGGGACGACGGCCUUCGGGUUGUAAACCUCUUUUAGUAGGGAAGAAGCGAAAGUGACGGUACCUGCAGAAAAAGCACCGGCUAACUACGUGCCAGCAGCCGCGGUAAUACGUAGGGUGCAAGCGUUGUCCGGAAUUAUUGGGCGUAAAGAGCUCGUAGGCGGUUUGUCGCGUCUGCUGUGAAAACCCGAGGCUCAACCUCGGGCCUGCAGUGGGUACGGGCAGACUAGAGUGCGGUAGGGGAGAUUGGAAUUCCUGGUGUAGCGGUGGAAUGCGCAGAUAUCAGGAGGAACACCAAUGGCGAAGGCAGAUCUCUGGGCCGUAACUGACGCUGAGGAGCGAAAGCAUGGGGAGCGAACAGGAUUAGAUACCCUGGUAGUCCAUGCCGUAAACGUUGGGAACUAGAUGUGGGGACCAUUCCACGGUCUCCGUGUCGCAGCUAACGCAUUAAGUUCCCCGCCUGGGGAGUACGGCCGCAAGGCUAACUAG